rnacentral:rRNA from 1 species
CUGGCUCAGGACGAACGCUGGCGGCGUGCUUAACACAUGCAAGUCGAACGGAAAGGCCCUGCUUUUGUGGGGUGCUCGAGUGGCGAACGGGUGAGUAACACGUGAGUAACCUGCCCUUGACUUUGGGAUAACUUCAGGAAACUGGGGCUAAUACCGGAUAGGAGCUCCUGCUGCAUGGUGGGGGUUGGAAAGUUUCGGCGGUUGGGGAUGGACUCGCGGCUUAUCAGCUUGUUGGUGGGGUAGUGGCUUACCAAGGCUUUGACGGGUAGCCGGCCUGAGAGGGUGACCGGCCACAUUGGGACUGAGAUACGGCCCAGACUCCUACGGGAGGCAGCAGUGGGGAAUAUUGCACAAUGGGCGGAAGCCUGAUGCAGCAACGCCGCGUGCGGGAUGACGGCCUUCGGGUUGUAAACCGCUUUCGCCUGUGACGAAGCGUGAGUGACGGUAAUGGGUAAAGAAGCACCGGCUAACUACGUGCCAGCAGCCGCGGU